UAGGAGCCACGGUUAAUGAAGAGGACUCUUU
rnacentral:piRNA from 1 species